AGAAUCAACGCUGGCGGCGUGCCUAACACAUGCAAGUCGAACGAGAAAGUGGAGCAAUCCAUGAGUAAAGUGGCGCACGGGUGAGUAACACGUGACUAACCUACCCUCGAGUGGGGAAUAACUUCGGGAAACCGAGGCUAAUACCGCAUAAAACCUAAGGGUCAAAGGAGCAAUCCGUUUGAGGAGGGGGUCGCGGCAGAUUAGUUAGUUGGCGGGGUAAUGGCCCACCAAGACGAUGAUCUGUAUCCGGCCUGAGAGGGCGCACGGACACACUGGAACUGAAACACGGUCCAGACUCCUACGGGAGGCAGCAGUGGGGAAUUUUGCGCAAUGGGGGAAACCCUGACGCAGCAACGCCGCGUGGAGGAUGAAAUCCCUUGGGAUGUAAACUCCUUUCGAUCGGGAAGAUAAUGACGGUACCGGAAGAAGAAGCCCCGGCUAACUUCGUGCCAGUAGCCGC
rnacentral:rRNA from 1 species